UGCCAGCCUCCUCGGUAAUACGGAGGGAGCGAGCGUUAAUCGGAAUUACUGGGCGUAAAGCGCGCGUAGGCGGUUUUGUAAGUCGGAUGUGAAAGCCCCGGGCUCAACCUGGGAAUGGCAUUCGAUACUGCAUAACUAGAGUAUGGUAGAGGGAAGUGGAAUUUCCGGUGUAGCGGUGAAAUGCGUAGAUAUCGGAAGGAACACCGGUGGCGAAGGCGACUAUCUGGGCCAUAACUGACGCUGAUGUGCGAAAGCUAGGGGAGCAAACGGGAUUAGAUA
rnacentral:rRNA from 1 species